UCCCUGGAGGACUAGUGGUUAGGCUUCGGUGCUCUCACAGCUGUGGCCCGCGUUCGAACCCCGGCCAGGGAA
rnacentral:tRNA from 1 species